AUACCUAUGGCUGAGAGGUCGAAAGCACUAGACUCAUAAUCUAGCUCCAAAUGGAAUCGAUGGUUCAAAUCCAUCUAGGUAUA
rnacentral:tRNA from 1 species